CAUUCACAAGAUGAACAGAAGAGAGACCAACAGAAACUUUUCGCCUUUCCAAGUGUGCUGAUUUCAUAUGGGAACUGACAGAUCAAACUGCCUAUCCUGUUAAUUGUUGAUGUUAUCCUCUGUGAGGUUCUCAAGGUUAUGCUGAGAGAGUACCACCCAUCAAAUGUCAUGGCUGUGCGAGAACUUGGAUCUGGAUCACCUAAUUCCUGCUGGGUAGCUCAGUGGUGUAAGAAUCUGGCAAUGGAAUCAGAGCUAGAGCAAAACUAGAAGAACUAUCGUCUGAAGGCAGCAGGGGGAACGAAGCUCAACGUACUCUGCUUCAAAGACAGAGUGAUUACACUGGAGUCAUGUUAGUUGAUUGGAUUUCUAUUUCAAGCCUCAGCUCCCCAUGGAUAGACACCAGACCAUAAUGAAAAGCAUAGAGUCUUCUUCCAAAGCUGAUCAGACAUUCAGAUCAAAAAGUGUAAUCAAACUGGUGUGGGGGGGAAAACCCAGUGCUUUUACAUACUAGCUUCAUCCACCCCUAUUAGUCUGAAGAACCAGACCUCUCUUGCUGGAGUAAAAGUUUCUCCUGUGCCAUCAGGAUGCAAAUUGUUGUUUCUUUCUUUCUCUCUCUCUCUCAUAAGAAUUUUAAUGCAUUUAUCCCUGAUUCAGAAGCUUUUAGGAUGUUCCAUUGGAGAUUUUAAAAAGACUUUCUUUCAUGCAAAUAGAAUCCCCACCUGCCCACAUAUAUUUUUAAAUGCUCGGGGAAAGGAGCUCAACCAAGAUGGGUUCACAUCUACCAUUCUCAACCAUCUCAAAAGCUUCUCUUCUCAGCACUGCAGAACACUGUAACUCCUAUUGUUUAGUAUCAGUCCUAAAAACUUGUUUGAAUCUUCCAAAUAGAGAUUACGUUCAGGAUUGUUGCAGAAAAUAUUGUUAACCCAAGCUUUGCUGAUAUGC